rnacentral:rRNA from 1 species
GACGAACGCUGGCGGCGUGCUUAACACAUGCAAGUCGAACGGAAAGGCCCUGCUUGCCGGGUACUCGAGUGGCGAACGGGUGAGUAACACGUGGGUGAUCUGCCCUGCACUUCGGGAUAAGCCUGGGAAACUGGGUCUAAUACCGGAUAGGAGCCAUUUUUAGUGUGAUGGUUGGAAAGUUUUUUCGGUGUAGGAUGAGCUCGCGGCCUAUCAGCUUGUUGGUGGGGUAAUGGCCUACCAAGGCGGCGACGGGUAGCCGGCCUGAGAGGGUGGACGGCCACAUUGGGACUGAGAUACGGCCCAGACUCCUACGGGAGGCAGCAGUGGGGAAUAUUGCACAAUGGGCGCAAGCCUGAUGCAGCGACGCCGCGUGGGGGAUGACGGCCUACGGGUUGUAAACUCCUUUCGCUAGGGACGAAGCUUUUUGUGACGGUACCUAGAUAAGAAGCACCGGCUAACUACGUG